rnacentral:lncRNA from 10 species
CGAGCCUCGUGCUCUUCUCGAAUUUUCUUCCUUCUCAAUUUUCAUCUCGUGAGUGUAGCAACAUGAAUUAUAGCUUGUCAAGCAAUACAUUUUCUCAGCGUUGAGAAGAUUCUGCUCCAUUUUUUCUGAUUAUGGAUUCUGUUCAGAAGGAAGCCGAAUUUUAAGUCAUCGUUCUAGGAUAGAUUCAGCUCCAUUUUCUCUGGUGGUAGAUCUCCAUGGAUGCUAUUGAGAAGGUACUUCUCAAAGUCCACGAGGACAAGGACAUCUUUCCACCGAAUGCCACCUGGUUUAUAACAAAAGCAUGAAAAACAAACAGGAAUUUCUCAAUGCAGAAAGGACUGAAGCUGUCAAAGGUGUGCUUUUUUUCUGCACAAACAAGUUUCCAUUGAAUGAUAGAAUAAAGAGAUACUGACUUCCCCGGAGCCUCCAAACUUGAGUAGUCAGGCAUUGGGAUCCGUGGAAGGCUUGUUAAAUCCAAAUAGAUUGGUCCUACUCCAUCCGCAGAGUUGCUGACGAGGUGCGUCCAGCUGCACUUCAAGGGAAGUUAUUGAAUAUGUCCUAUCCAACUAAAACAAGGAAAUGAUGAAAAAAAUAAAAUCACUUUCCAGAGGCCUCAGGGCUAACUGGAGACAGAGCUCAGACUGCAACUGAGAAAAGUUGGACUCCAAAACCUGUACUCUGAGCUUUACUGCAUGAGAAAGUUAUUGAAAUGUGCCUUGUGACAUUCAGAAUAAGUGACUUUUCAGAGGUCUCAGAGUCAGUAAGAGACAGAACUCAGAUUGUAACCAAGAAGAGCUGAACUCCAAACUUCUGUGUCCGGAAUUGGUGGGUUCUUGGUCUCACUGACUUCAAGAAUGAAGCGGCAGACCCUCGCGG